AGUCUGAAUAGGGCGACUUAGUAUGUGGACGUAGACCCGAAACCGUGUGAUCUACCCCUGUCCAGGGUGAAGGUGCGGUAACACGCACUGGAGGCCCGAACCCACGUACGUUGAAAAGUGCGGGGAUGAGGUGGGGGUAGCGGAGAAAUUCCAAUCGAACUCGGAGAUAGCUGGUUCUCCCCGAAAUAGCUUUAGGGCUAGCCUCGGUAUAAGAGUAGUGGAGGUAGAGCACUGAUUGGGUGCGGGGUCCGCAAGGAUUACCAAGCUCAGUCAAACUCCGAAUGCCAUAUACUUAUUGCCGGGAGUCAGACAGUGAGUGCUAAGAUCCAUUGUCAAAAGGGAAACAGCCCAGACCAUCAGCUAAGGUCCCCAAGUGUGUGUUAAGUGGGAAAGGAUGUGGAGUUGCACAGACAACCAGGAUGUUGGCUUAGAAGCAGCCACCAUUGAAAGAGUGCGUAAUAGCUCACUGGUCGAGUGACUCUGCGCCGAAAAUGUAACGGGGCUAAACACACCACCGAAGCUAUGGCUAGAUACUAUGUAUCUGGGGUAGGGGAGCGUUGUGUAGGGGUUGAAGGUGUACUGAAAAGAGCGCUGGACACUACACAAGUGAGAAUGCCGGUAUGAGUAACGAAAAGAUCAGUGAGAAUCUGAUCCGCCGAAAGCCCAAGGUUUCCUGAGGAAGGCUCGUCCGCUCAGGGUAAGUCGGGACCUAAGGCGAGGCCGAAAGGCGUAGUCGAAGGACAACAGUUUGAAAUUACUGUACCACCGUAAUCCGCUAUGAGCGAUGGGGUGACGCAGGAGGGUAGUGACGCGGACUGAUGGAUGUCCGUCUAAGCAGUGAGGCUGAUGUGUAGGCAAAUCCGCACAUCAUUAAGGCUGGGCUGUGAUGGGGAGCGAAAAUUAUAGUAG
rnacentral:rRNA from 1 species